rnacentral:rRNA from 1 species
CCUACGGGGUGCACCAGUGGGGAAUAUUGCACGAUCGGCGCAAGCCUGAUGCAGCCAUGCCGCGUGUAUGAAGAAGGCCUUCGGGUUGUAAAGUACUUUCAGCGGGGAGGAAGGUGUUGUGGUUAAUAACCGCAGCAAUUGACGUUACCCGCAGAAGAAGCACCGGCUAACUCCGUGCCAGCAGCCGCGGUAAUACGGAGGGUGCAAGCGUUAAUCGGAAUUACUGGGCGUAAAGCGCACGCAGGCGGUCUGCCAAGUCGGAUGUGAAAUCCCCGGGCUCAACCUGGGAACUGCAUUCGAAACUGGCAGGCUAGAGUCUUGUAGAGGGGGGUAGAAUUCCAGGUGUAGCGGUGAAAUGCGUAGAGAUCUGGAGGAAUACCAGUGGCGAAGGCGGCCCCCUGGACAAAGACUGACGCUCAGGUGCGAAAGCGUGGGGAGCAAACAGGAUUAGAUACCCGAGUGGUC